rnacentral:sRNA from 1 species
ACUCAGGAAAGUCCACGGGAUUUAAGAGCUCCAUGUCAGGAACGAGAGUGAAGACCAAACAUUAGAACCAAAGAUUCUCCUAGCACCCCUGUAACUCAGGAAAUUACAAGGGUGUUGGGAGCUCUAGGCCAGAGACUAGAGGCAGAGACCAUAUAUAUAUUUCUUAUUUCACAACAGGAAAGGAGAGAAGGUCUCUGAGGAAGUGACAUUCCAGCUGAGACGUGAAGGAUAAGUAGAAACCAAGCAGAAGAAUUGGAAGAGGAAAGGGAAGAGGGAAAAGCCUGUGCCAAUGCCCUGAGAUUGGAAUAUGCUUUUUGUGUUUAAGAAAUUAACAGAAGCUUGGACGAACCUUGACAGGAUGGGUGCAGCGAACUUUCCAGAGCACCCAGGCAGCUACGGCUUCCUCCCGGAACUCCUGUGCAGCUGACGACAAGGCCACUGAGCCUCUGCCCAAGGACUGCCCUGUCUCUUCUUACAACGAAUGGGACCCCUUAGAGGAGGUGAUAGUGGGCAGAGCAGAAAACGCCUGUGUUCCACCGUUCACCAUCG